rnacentral:rRNA from 1 species
GACAGAGGUUGCAAACGUUGUUCGGAAUCACUGGCAUAAAGCGCACGUAGGCGGCUAAUUAAGUUAGGUGUGAAAUCCCCCGGCUCAACCGGGGAACUGCGCCUGAUACUGAUUGGCUUGAGAACGGUAGGGGUGAGCGGAACUCCAGGUGGAGCGGUGAAAUGCGUAGAUAUCUGGAGGAACACCGGUGGCGAAAGCGGCUCACUGGACCGUAACUGACGCUGAUGUGCGAAAGCUAGGGUAGCAAACGGG